CUGGAUGCAGGCAAGUGAGGAAGCAUGACCCCAAAUGGCUAUUCUGGGACAAUUUCUGAGCUUCAAAGGCUUGCAUUUUGGAUCAGUGCUGAGUUGUCUCUGUUUGGCAUUUGUGCUGGAAGCAGUCCCAGAAUUUCCAGGCUAUCUUAAGAAAGUCUUGAAGAACCAUACAGCGCAUGCAUGUGAAGGAGAGAAAUUGCGACUCACUUGCCCACAAAAGACAUCUAUCAGCAUCCUUUCUGCUUUUUAUGGUCAUAAAGUCCCUGAUGAAAACUUUUGUCCAACUCUAAUUGUGCCUGUAAAGCUGCUGCAAAAAAUUGACCAUAGCUCACUGGACCCAUUUACACUGUCUGAUUAUAUAUAUAUGGCAUCCCUGAGAAAAUGGGCCUGUAUUUCCUGUGUGGUGUCUCUGGAGGCCUUAUCUUUCUAUUACGCAUCUUUACUUCCAAAAUGAUCUUUGUCCAAGAAAUGAAAGAAGUUUCUGGGUGUAUAAAUUCCAAGUUGGGCAAGAAAAAGCUACAGGAUCAGGAAGAAGAAGAAAACCACAAUGAUGACAGUUCUUCUGGUUCCUCUUUCCAUCACUUUACGUACACCUAUCCAUCCUUGAAUAGCAUGUUUUGCCCUGAGCUGACUGCAGCUUUAGAGCAUUCAGCUAACGGAAGAAAGAGAUGAAAUCUGGAUAGCCAAAGAGCCUAGUCUUUAUGCUAUUUACAAAAUCAAAACUGCCACAAAAUAAAAUGAAACACAAUGUGCA
rnacentral:lncRNA from 1 species